UACGUAGGGUGCGAGCGUUGUCCGGAUUUAUUGGGCGUAAAGAGCUCGUAGGCGGCUCGUCGCGUCGACCGUGAAAACCCGCAGCUUAACUGUGGGCUUGCAGCCGAUACGGGCGAGCUGAGUGUCGGUAGGGGAGACUGGAAUUCCGUGGUGUAGCGGUGAAAUGCGCAGAUAUCAGGAGGAACACCGGUGGCGAAGGCGGGUCUCUGGGCCGAUACUGACGCUGAGGAGCGAAAGCGUGGGGAGCGAACAGG
rnacentral:rRNA from 1 species